rnacentral:rRNA from 1 species
GGGGAAUAUUGCACAAUGGGGGAAACCCUGAUGCAGCCAUGCCGCGUGUGUGAAGAAGGCCUUCGGGUUGUAAAGCACUUUCAGUAGGGAGGAAGGGUUGAUGUCUAAUACGCAUCAACAUUGACGUUACCUACAGAAGAAGCACCGGCUAACUCCGUGCCAGCAGCCGCGGUAAUACGGAGGGUGCAAGCGUUAAUCGGAAUAACUGGGCGUAAAGCGCACGCAGGCGGUUAGAUAAGUCAGACGUGAAAUCCCCGGGCUCAACCUGGGAACUGCAUUUGAAACUGUCUGACUAGAGUCUUGUAGAGGGGGGUAGAAUUCCAGGUGUAGCGGUGAAAUGCGUAGAGAUCUGGAGGAAUACCGGUGGCGAAGGCGGCCCCCUGGACAAAGACUGACGCUCAGGUGCGAAAGCGUGGGGAGCAAACAG